CUAACCAGGAUUCCCCUAGUAACGGCGAGUGAAGAGGGAAAAGCCCAGCACCGAAGCCUGCGGCAGUUUUGCUGUUAGGCAAUGUGGUGUUUGGGUCGGCUCGCGGGAUUGCCACUCCACUCGAAGUCCAGCAUUGAGUAUGGUCACUGGAAUUGGCCCAGAGAGGGUGAAAGGCCCGUACGGGUGGAGGAUCAGAAAUGUAAGGCAAUUCACCAGGCCGGCCUUAGAGUCGGGUUGUUUGAGAAUGCAGCCCAAAGUGGGUGGUAAACUCCAUCCAAGGCUAAAUACAAGCACGAGUCCGAUAGCGAACAAGUACCGUGAGGGAAAGUUGAAAAGUACUUUGAAGAGAGAGUAAACAGUACGUGAAACCGCAUGCAGGUAAACGGGUGGCGUCAAGCUGCGAACCCAGAGGAUUCAGCUGGCUAGGAUGUUGUGAUGCGCCUGGCGCAUCCAUCAGUCGGAAUAAGAUGUGAUAGUCCACUGGGAGACGGUGGGCCCGGCCGCAAGGUUGGGAUAUGUGUACCGGGUGUUAGCCGGAGCAUGCUAUUCAUCUGUUGGGCUGUCUAGUCAGUGCACUUUCUCUGUGGUGAACACCACGACCGGUGGAAUUGCCAGUCUGCUGUAGUCAAGUCUUGCUGAGAGGGUCCUUGUGGCCAACUUGGUAGGAUCACAGGCAAUGUCAGUGAACGGCGUAGGGGUGCCUUUGGUGUUCUUACGUGUUAUCGGCCACUGCUUGUCAACGGGCCUGCUCGGCGGUUGUUGUAACUGCUGCUGGGUGGUCUGGUGGGCUAUGGUGGUAAUAAAAACUGUGCAAGGCACCGGAGAUGUCGGCCUCAAAUGCACUCUGCACUGGCAUGUUACAAGUGCGAGGGGGUGCCAUUGCGGUCUGCCUGUUGUUGAGUCUGAUUGUCGUGUCGCCUGCGCAAAGUGGGCCCGGCAGUGGCUUGAUGCAGGAUGGGCCGUGGAUGGUGUCUCUCAGGUGUAGGGUGCGGUGGGCCCAAUAGUCAGUGGUGCUGUGGUAGACGAGCUACCCGACCCGUCUUGAAACACGGACC
rnacentral:rRNA from 1 species